GACGAACGCUGGCGGCGUGCUUAACACAUGCAAGUCGAACGGGAAGGCCCUGCUUUUGUGGGGUGCUCGAGUGGCGAACGGGUGAGUAACACGUGAGUAACCUGCCCUUGACUUUGGGAUAACUUCAGGAAACUGGGGCUAAUACCGGAUAGGAGCUCCUGCUGCAUGGUGGGGGUUGGAAAGUUUCGGCGGUUGGGGAUGGACUCGCGGCUUAUCAGCUUGUUGGUGGGGUAGUGGCUUACCAAGGCUUUGACGGGUAGCCGGCCUGAGAGGGUGACCGGCCACAUUGGGACUGAGAUACGGCCCAGACUCCUACGGGAGGCAGCAGUGGGGAAUAUUGCACAAUGGGCGGAAGCCUGAUGCAGCAACGCCGCGUGCGGGAUGACGGCCUUCGGGUUGUAAACCGCUUUCGCCUGUGACGAAGCGUGAGUGACGGUAAUGGGUAAAGAAACACCGGCUAACUACGUG
rnacentral:rRNA from 1 species